GAUGAACGCUGGCGGCGUGCCUAAUACAUGCAAGUCGAGCGAACAGACGAGGAGCUUGCUCCUCUGACGUUAGCGGCGGACGGGUGAGUAACACGUGGAUAACCUACCUAUAAGACUGGGAUAACUUCGGGAAACCGGAGCUAAUACCGGAUAAUAUAUUGAACCGCAUGGUUCAAUAGUGAAAGACGGUUUUGCUGUCACUUAUAGAUGGAUCCGCGCCGCAUUAGCUAGUUGGUAAGGUAACGGCUUACCAAGGCAACGAUGCGUAGCCGACCUGAGAGGGUGAUCGGCCACACUGGAACUGAGACACGGUCCAGACUCCUACGGGAGGCAGCAGUAGGGAAUCUUCCGCAAUGGGCGAAAGCCUGACGGUGCAACGCCGCGUGAGUGAUGAAGGUCUUCGGAUCGUAAAACUCUGUUAGUAGGGAAGAACAAAUGUGUAAGUAACUAUGCACGUCUUGACGGUACCUAAACAGAAAGCCACGGCUAACUACAUG
rnacentral:rRNA from 1 species